rnacentral:rRNA from 1 species
CGGUAAUUCCAGCUCCAAUAGCGUAUACUAAAGUUGUUGCAGUUAAAAAGCUCGUAGUUGGAUUUCUGCGGGGACGGAGCGGCCGGACGCAACUUGCGUCUCGAGCUAGCGCUUUCCCCACAUCCUGCCGCGAACCGUGCUACCAUUAGUUUGGUGGCGCUGGGGAUCGGCUCGAUUACUUUGAGAAAAAUAGAGUGUUCAAAGCAGGCCACACGCCUUGAAUAAGUUAGCAUGGAAUAAUGACUAAGGACUUUGGUUCUUUUCGUUGGUGUUCGGGACUGAAGUAAUGAUUGAUAGGGACAGUUGGGGCGGUCCGUAUUCCAAAGCGAGAGGUGAAAUUCUUAGACCUUCGGAAGACGAACAGCUGCGAAAGCGUUCCGCAAGGAUGUUCCCUUUGAUCAAGAACGAAAGUUGGGGGAUCGAAGACGAUCAGAUACCGUCGUAGUCUCAACUAUAAACUAUACCAGCUAGGGAUCGGCCAACGUUUAAUUAUUCGACUUGGUCGGCACCUUAUGAGAAAUCAAAGCAUCUGGGUUCCGGGGGGAGUAUGGUCGCAAGGCUGAAACUUAAAGGAAUUGACGGAAGGGCACCACCAGGCGUGGAGCCUGUGGCUUAAUUUGACUCAACACGGGAAAACUUACCAGGUCCAGACAUAGGAAGGAUUGACAGAUUGAUAGCUCUUUCUUGAUUCCGUGGGUGGUGGUGCAUGGCCGUUUUUAGUCGGUGAAGUGAUUUGUCUGCUUAAUUGCGUUAACGGACGAGACCCUAGCCUGCUAAAUAGCGCGGUCGAGCUUUGCUCGGCACGAGCUUCUUAGAGGGACCAUGAUGCGCGAUAGCACAAGGAAGUUUGGGGCAACAACAGGUCUGUGAUGCCCUUAGAUGUUCUGGGCCGCACACGGGCUACACUGGCGCCUGCAACGAGCAUAUCAGCUGGCCCGAGAGGGUCUUGGCUAAUCUUUGGAACCGGCGCCGUGCUUGGGAUUGACCAUUGCAAUUGUUGGUCAUGCAACGAGGAAUGCCUUGUAAACGCGAGUCAUCAGCUCGCAUUGAAUACGUCCCUGCUCCUUGUACACACCGCCC